AGAGUUUGAUCCUGGCUCAGAAUGAACGCUGGCGGCAUGCCUAACACAUGCAAGUCGAACGAGAUCUUCGGAUCUAGUGGCGCACGGGUGAGUAACGCGUGGGAACCUACCUUUUAGUUCGGGACAACGUUUGGAAACGAACGCUAAUACCGUAUACGCCCUCCGGGGGAAAGGUCAGCCGCUGAAAGAGGGGCCCGCGUCUGAUUAGCUUGUUGGUAAGGUAAUGGCUUACCAAGGCUUCGAUCAGUAGCUGGUCUGAGAGGAUGAUCAGCCACACUGGGACUGAGACACGGCCCAGACUCCUACGGGAGGCAGCAGUGGGGAAUAUUGGACAAUGGAGGCAACUCUGAUCCAGCAAUGCCGCGUGUGUGAUGAAGGCCUUAGGGUUGUAAAGCACUUUCAACGGUGAAGAUGAUGACGGUAGCCGUAGAAGAAGCCCCCGGCUAACUUCGUGCCAGCAGCCGCGGUAAUACGAAGGGGGCGAGCGUUAUUCGGAAUUAUUGGGCCGUAAAGGGCUCGCAGGCUGCUUGAACAGUUAGACGUGAAAUCCCCGGGCUCAACCUGGGAACUGCGUUUAAUACUAGCAAGCUAGAGAAAUAGAGAGGAAAGUGGAACUCCCAGUGUAGAGGUGAAAUUCGUAGAUAUUGGGAAGAACACCAGUGGCGAAAGCGAUUUUCUGGCUAUUUUCUGACGCUGAGGAGCGAAAGCGUGGGGAGCAAACAGGAUUAGAUACCCCUGG
rnacentral:rRNA from 1 species